rnacentral:lncRNA from 1 species
GGGGUGGAGUUUAGGAUUUAGGGUUUAGGAUUUAGGGUUUAGGGAUUAGAGUUUAGGGUUUAGGGUUUAGAGUUUAGGGGUGGGGUUUAGGGUUUAGGGUUAAGGGGUGGAGUUUAGGAUUUAGGGUUUAGGGUUUAGGAUUUAGGGUUUAGAGUUUAGGGUUUAGGGUUUAGAGUUUAGGGUUUAGGGUUUAGAGUUGGGGAGUGGAGUUUUAGGGUUUAGAGUUGGGGAGUGGGGUUUUGGGAUAAGAUUUCAAAUUUUGAAAAAUAAAAAAAAUUAAAUUUUUCAAAAGAUGAAAUUCUAUUUUGGUCAUUUUAGUUUUUGAGGGUUAUUUUUGUGACAUAAACUUAGAAAU